AGAAUAUAAUAACCCGUCUCUUAACUUUUAACUAAAAAAGCUAAGAACCGACUCUUAAAUAAGAAUUUUAAGAACCGGUUCUUAACUUUUUUAGUUAAAAGUUAAAAGACGGGUUCUUAUAUUCC
rnacentral:pre_miRNA from 1 species